rnacentral:misc_RNA from 1 species
AACUGAUACUACCUGCGGGAACCUGCGGAAGGAUCAUUACAGAGUUGCAAAACUCCAAACCAUUGUGAACUUACCUUUGCCGUUGCUUCGGCGGGCGGCCCGGGUCCCGACCCGGCGCCCCCCGGCCCCGUCAGGGGCGCCCGCCGGAGGUAAACCAAACUCUUGAAUUGUAUGGCCUCUCUGAGUCUUCUGUACUGAAUAAGUCAAAACUUUUAACAAUGGAUCUCUAGAUCGGAAGAG